GGAACCCCAGGUCAGGC
rnacentral:rRNA from 1 species